UGAAUCUGGGAUGAGAAACAAUAUUCUCUGAGCUAAAAGGUGUAAUUUCACCACCCGAUGCAGUUGUCAAUGUUUCAUCAAUUGAAAAUCAAUAAAUUUCAAUCAAUUCCUGGGAUCCUAUUACUUUAACCUUUGGAUGGCCAAAGAGCCCCCUCUGUUCCUGACAGCUGCAGGUCUAGUAUGGUUUUAGCUUUUUCAUAUAAUCAGCAAAGCUCGAACUGCUUCCUGAUUGAAGAAAAUUGCUCAGCAACCCCUGGCAAAUGAUUAGAAAGUGUUUUCUUGUUUCCAACAAUGACCACAGGAAGUGAAUGCAACUGGAGAAGGCCAGGUUCUCUGCAGGCCCUUGUUCAUUUCUUCUUUUUCCUGUUUUAUAUUUAUGUUUUAAUAUUUCCUGCAUUUACAGUGGUGACUUGAAGUUACCUGGGCCUCAAUCUCCUCCUCUGAGGAUCAGAGUGGCUUCCAAGGGAAGACUACUUCAGGGAACAUCCUGCUUUGCAGCCCCAAAUAUUACCUCCAGCCUUUCCCCCUGUUCUAGGAGAUCUCAAGAUUCUGCUAGACAUUCCUGCUUAAGUUCGGAUGUCAAGAGGAUGAAUCACGGAUGUCGGUGCAUUCCCCUCAGAGAUGUUACUCUGCUAGCGUGAGCUGUAGUGAACAAUGUCCACCAGAAGCUUGAGGCUUACUUAUUGUUGAGCCACAGUCUACCCAGUCUCAGCUAGCUGCUGGUGGCAAUAGGCAGGUUACCAGGAAGAAUAAUACACAAAUCUGCUCUUAUGACAAUGUCAUUGUUACACUUACUAUUUCACUUUCUCUUUUCUGGGCUGAGAGUACUUCACAAUAUACAAUCUCUAUUCUUGGUCUUCCUGUGAGAUAGGCAGUCAGAAGAAAAUGGGAAAUCUUAGCACAUCUGAACAAUAGUAAGUCUUUCUUCACAGUGUUGUCUGAAGAGUGUUGCUUGAUGACAUCAGCAGCCAGAUCUGUGUCUUCCCCCACACAAUGAGGCUGAGUUUCUGUGCAUGGGUGAGAAAGCAUCUUAUGAGCUGAAUGAUAAUUAGGAAAACCAUUGAGAAAAUGGGAGUGACAUCCUGCAAAUUAAAGGCAGUCGUAAUGUAAAAGGAAAUUAAAUCUUCCGUUUUUAAGAAAGAGAUGCAAUCUUGCUCACAAUAUUUUGACCCUUUUCCUUUAUUUCUUCCCAAUCCGUACUUCUCCUUUAUCUUUUCUUGGGCCCAUGUUCAUUUUCUCACUGAGUUGAUACUGCUUCAAACAGUUUUGUGGUUUCUGUAGGUGUGUCAUUAAAACAAGGACAUGGCUUCUAGGCAUCUGUGAUGACUCAGCGAGUCCAAACUCUAUCUGGUGUGUUAGUGCAAUGGAUCAGCCUCCUCUUGCUGAACAGAAUCUGCCAGAUGUCCAUGGUGCAUGGCAGGGCUCUGGAUGGGCAUUCAUUGUUUUAUUUAAUCAGUUAUGCCAAGGAUGGUCAGUUGAGUGGCAUGGGGCAUCAUAUUACUUGUCUGAGGCUCCUAAUGAGAGAAGUUUGCCUUGAGAGGCCCUUUUCUCUUUGCCCUGUGGAACACUAGUGGCAGAGUGUUUGGUACUUUUCUUAGUUUGGCACCAACUCCUGUAACCAUGGGUUGCUCCUUUGGAGCUGUGGUUAGACUCACCUAAGUGGCUUAGCUUGGUGCUUCCUAAACAUUAACAUUCAUAUACAUCACCCUAGAUCUUAUUAAAAUGUAGAUUUGGAUUCAGUGGGUUUGGGAUAGGGCUGCCUAUUCUGCACUUCCAACAGACGCCGCUGUUUCAUGGACCACACCUUGAAUAGCAAGAGCCUUGCUGAUCCCAGCUGAGCACAUCGUUUUACGACAACCUGCCACCAUUAGCAGACAGGAGAACAGAAGUGCAUGUGCCACUGGAUUUUUUCAACGUUUGACCUCCAUAAUAGGGAAGGGAAAAGGAACUACCACUGAUAGAGCCUUUAUUACACCCCAGGCGCAACGCCUAGCUGUCAGCAUUUAAUUCUAUUAUCCCAUUGAUGAGAAUCUGAGCAACUUGAAUAAGAAAGUGAUUACUUAAAACUUGGUUUGUGAGUCCCUCCCCUUUCUGACAUCAUGAGUAACUAGUGUUGCUAAAGCAACUCAACAGGCCCAAGAUGCCAAAUCUGAGAGGAGGGGAUGUCAAGAGAGACUUGAGAGCUCACGGCACACUACAGGAAACCCCAACUCCAAGAAAGACCUACCCAAAAUAGAGGUGUGCUGAUGCAAAUCAGUGAUCACUGCUGUUCUCAGGUUAUAAGAAUAGUUGGAAACCUCUCUGGUGACUCAUCAGCCUUCACAGUUGCCAGGAGUUAUCUCUAGCUCUAGUCAGGCAGCCAGUCACUCCCUGGCAGAGGGAAAGCCUUUUCUCAAGAACAUUCUGAUCUGAGGAAGGAGCUGGCUUGAGCUCGUUAUUCAGGGUCAGGUGGCACAAUGAACUAUGCUGCACCACCUAGGAUGGCCUUUUCUGCGGGGGUCAAGAGCUAGAUCAGGUUGUCACAGGUCCCUACCCCUUCUGGCCCAAGCCCCAUGCAUGGAAAAGUGGUGGCUGGUGGGUGGGAGUCGGGGGCAGGAUCGAUGAGUCUCUGAAGCCAGGUAAAGACCCAUUUCACUGGGAUACUUCGCUGUUUGGCUAAGUGGAUGAGGGCCUACAGUGUCAAGAUUUGCACACUCUAGGUAUCACAGGGCUGGACCAUGCAUCAGAAUCCCAGAUUGGGUUCUCUGUUGGAAGCAGAUGCCUUAAAAGGUUUCUUGGCUGAAAAUGCAUCCCCCAGACCACACAUUUUUGUUCUCCUCUGACCGUUCCAAUUCAGAGCUACCUCUUCCAAGGUAGGGCUCCUCCUGACUGAAGACACUAAGAGUAGGUGAUUAGAGAUGGCUUUUAAUGAUGUCAGGUCUUCUGAAAUGUUUACUUCUCUGAAAAGUAUUCUCAAACACCAAGCUCCUGGCCUAGAACUGUUAACAGAGCAGAAUGUUUCUUUGGAGUGUUGAAAAGAAUAGCAUAUGAGAGGGUUAUCAGUAUUAGCUGGUAACAUAUUCUGAGGAUCCACUAGGGUUAUGACAUUGUGUUAGAAGCUGUGAGCAAUAACGAAAAUGACACCUCAAACCUUUAUUAUCGGAUGUGGAAUAGGAGUUAUAUAUUCUGGCUUAUUAAAUAAUAGAUUUUUUUCAUAAUAAGAACCGCAGAGGAGAAAAGACUUUCCCUUUACCCUCUGAGAAUUUGAUAACUGAGUCUAUAAAACACACUGACAGCAAUCAUAUUAACAGGAGAAUAGGCAGACAAAUAUGUUAUGUACAUGGCUGCAUCCCAAAAGAGAAAAGGGAAUAUUGCAAAACCCAAUGAGAUCUAGAAGUCUGCAUGGCCUCGUUGUAGAGGAGGGAGAAUGUAGGUAACUUAGGGAAGAGUAAGUGAUUUGAGGGAAAGAUGAAUGGGUGGUAGAUGAGAUUCGAGGGCAGUAGUGGGCAGGCUAAGUGGGAGUUGUGGGGGAUUCAUGACGAUUGAGUUAUUUCAAAGGAUUUGUCUUCAGGCAGAUAAGGGAAGUUUAGAGAAAGCCCCUUCUUGCAUUAGCUGUUCCCCGAAUGCCCUCAAUUUGAAGUCAUCAGCACACCAAAGCAGCAUAUUUGGGGUGGUAUAUUCUAAACUCCUUCAGAACAAACAUGUAUGGCAUGUUAGAGUUUACAGAGCACAUUCGUAUAAAUUAUGCAAUUUGGUUACUCACUACUAACCUGC
ensembl:lncRNA